UCAUCGCGAAUACAAGCAGACAUGGAAAACACUGGAUGACGAACUGGCCUACGCUCUCUGGCCUGGUGAUGUGGAUGCCGGAAACAUUGACGGCAGCAUCCAUCGCUGGGCAAAAAAUGAAGUUAUCGACAACGACCGCGAAGACUGGAAGCGUAUCUCGGCAUCAAUGCGCAAACAGCCUGAUGCCCUUCGCUACGACCGCCAGACUAUUUUUGGCCUUGUCCGUGAACGUCCGAUCGACAUUCACAAAGACCCUGUGGCACUGAACAAAUACAUUACUAAAUACCUGACUACAAAGGGCGUGUUUGAAGAUGAAGGAACAAAUCAGAGCGCAACUGAUACUCUCUCGUCGCCAGUACCAGA
rnacentral:rRNA from 1 species